GCCAUGCAUGUCCCGACUAAGAGGUGACAAUCUCUCUGAAUCUGCGAACGGCUCCGCAAAAUGGUUGUAACCCAAGGCACGUCGAUUAUACGUGGAUCCCGCAAGGGGUUCACGGCACCAAGUUCUAGUUGGAUAUCCCUGGUAAUUCUGGGGCUAAUACAUGGCAAAAACCCUCGGUACGUGGGCGGUAAAGCGGGGAUAACCCCUCCCCCGGGCUUCGGCCUGGGGGCGGACCUCGCCGAUUCCUGCUGCCGUAGGGCGUGGGGAUCAUCUUAAAACCAAGCUCGGGAAACAAAACUUAACGAUCGCGAAAGACCGCACGCCUUAACCCGCACGCCGUCCUCGGACGGUAACCGUGCUAGGCAUCCCAUGGGACGCAGGAUUGGGGUUCAAUAUCUUCCGGAAAUUUUGCACGGCUCUGUGCGGCGGGAACGGGAUUAAUUUCCCUGGUACCGCAGCAUAUCCCGGGCUCAAGGACUGGUCGGGAAGGUUCCCCGCGUAAUCCGGCACCCUGACGGCUUAACACGGGCGGGCGCGUGUCUGGGCUUCCAACCUAUCAACUAGAAUGCGGUAUAAUGGUCUGCAGUGGUGACAACGGGUACAGAGGAUUAGGGUUCGAUCCUGGAGAGUGGGCCUGAGAGAUUGCUCCUACUUCUAAGGAAGGCAGCAGGCGCGCAAAGUUCCCAAUGGGCUUCCGAGCCCGAGGGCGUUA
rnacentral:rRNA from 1 species